rnacentral:rRNA from 1 species
AGAGUUUGAUCAUGGCUCAGAACGAACGCUGGCGGCAUGCCUAACACAUGCAAGUCGAACGCCCUGGGCAACCAGGGAGUGGCGGACGGGUGAGUAACGCGUGGGGACCUGCCUCGAAGUUCGGAAUAACCGCGGGAAACUGCGGCUAAUACCGGAUGUGGCCUGAGGGCCAAAGGGGAAACUCGCUUCGAGAGGGGCCCGCGUCCGAUUAGCUAGUUGGCGGGGUAACGGCCCACCAAGGCGACGAUCGGUAGCUGGUCUGAGAGGAUGAUCAGCCACACUGGGACUGAGACACGGCCCAGACUCCUACGGGAGGCAGCAGUGGGGAAUAUUGGACAAUGGGGGCAACCCUGAUCCAGCAAUGCCGCGUGAGUGAUGAAGGCCUUCGGGUUGUAAAGCUCUUUUGGCGGGGACGAUGAUGACGGUACCCGCAGAAUAAGCCCCGGCUAACUUCGUGCCAGCAGCCGCGGUAAUACGAAGGGGGCUAGCGUUGUUCGGAAUUACUGGGCGUAAAGGGCGCGUAGGCGGUCCUGAUCGUCGGAUGUGAAAGGCCUGGGCUCAACCUGGGAACUGCAUCCGAUACGGCGGGACUGGAGUGUGGGAGAGGUUGGUGGAAUUCCCAGUGUAGAGGUGAAAUUCGUAGAUAUUGGGAAGAACACCGGUGGCGAAGGCGGCCAACUGGACCACAACUGACGCUGAGGCGCGAAAGCGUGGGGAGCAAACAGGAUUAGAUACCCUAGUAGUCC